CUUUUCCUUGCAUUCCUGUCUGAACCAGGGAAUGCCCAGCGCAUGUGUCGUCAUGCAGGAGGACGCUGCCGGUACAAGUGUCGUCCUGGCACUGGCCUUGGAAAGAUCAACUGUCCAUUCGAAACGUGGUGCUGUAAAAAGUGACCUGGAAAAUAAUGCCAUCUCCAUCUACGACCAUGGAUAUCUUCAAGAUAUGGCCAAUGACCUGAGAUUAUCGCCUUCUAUUGCUUUAUCUUUCUUUAUAUAAAUCAAAUUGCUACCCAUCAAACUCUAAAACAUUUGUGCAUUGAAAUAAAAUUUGGCAAAUAUUUCUUGAAAUAAAG